GAUGAACGCUGGCGGCGUGCCUAAUACAUGCAAGUCGAGCGAACAGACGAGGAGCUUGCUCCUCUGACGUUAGCGGCGGACGGGUGAGUAACACGUGGAUAACCUACCUAUAAGACUGGGAUAACUUCGGGAAACCGGAGCUAAUACCGGAUAAUAUAUUGAACCGCAUGGUUCAAUAGUGAAAUACGGUUUUUCUGUCACUUAUAGAUGGAUCCGCGCCGCAUUAGCUAGUUGGUAAGGUAACGGCUUACCAAGGCAACGAUGCGUAGCCGACCUGAGAGGGUGAUCGGCCACACUGGAACUGAGACACGGUACAGACACCUACGGGAGGCAGCAGUAGGGAAUCUUCCGCAAUGGGCGAAAGCAUGACGGAGCAAAGCCGCGUGAGUGAUGAAGGUAUUAGGAUCGUAAAACUAUGUUAUUAGGGAAGAACAAAUGUGUAAGUAACUAUGCACGUAUUGACGGUAACUAAACAGAAAGCAACGGCUAACUACGUG
rnacentral:rRNA from 1 species